rnacentral:rRNA from 1 species
UACGUAGGGGGCAAGCGUUAUCCGGAUUUACUGGGUGUAAAGGGAGCGUAGACGGCGAUGCAAGUCUGAAGUGAAAGGCGGGGGCCCAACCCCUGGACUGCUUUGGAAACUGUAUGGCUGGAGUGCAGGAGAGGUAAGCGGAAUUCCUAGUGUAGCGGUGAAAUGCGUAGAUAUUAGGAGGAACACCAGUGGCGAAGGCGGCCUGCUGGGCUUUUACUGACGCUGAGGCUCGAAAGUGUGGGGAGCAAACAGG